rnacentral:rRNA from 1 species
AUUGAACGCUGGCGGCAGGCCUAACACAUGCCAGUCGAGCGGAUGAAGGGGGCUUGCUCCUGGAUUCAGCGGCGGACGGGUGGGUAAUGCCUAGGAGUCUGCCUGGUCGUGGGGGAUAACGUCCUGAAACGGGCGCUAAUACCGCAUACGUCCUGAGGGAGAAAGUGGGGGGUCUUCGGACCUCACGCUAUCAGGUGAGCCUAGGUCGGAUUAGCUAGUUGGUGGGGUAAAGGCCUACCAAGGCGACGAUCCGUAACUGGUCUGAGAGGAUGAUCAGUCACAUUGGAACUGAGAAUGGGCCCAGACUCUGACGGGAGGCAGCAGUGGGGAAUAUUGGAGAAUGGGGGAAAGCCUGAUACAGCAAUGCCGCGUGUGUGAAGAAGGUGUUCGGAUUGUAAAGUGCUGUAAGUUGGGAGGAAGUGAAGUAAGUUAAUACCUUGCUGUUUUGACGGUACCAACAGAAUAAGCACCGGCUAACUUCGUG